CUCACCUUAGGUUCUUUGAACCAUGGGUAGCUGGUCUUGAAAACGCCUGUUCUUGGCCAUUAUCUGGUGAGUCUGCCAAACUAAUUGAUCUUGAAACUGAAAGGGCCAAGACAGCUAGUUAAACUGCUUCCUCAUUCCUGGGGAGGAACUCAGCCUUUCUGAGAGGACCACAGUCAAUGCAUGGGAGGCCUGGGCAGAGCCCUGCAAAAGUCUCUCUGCAUGAUUGUGGCCUGGGAUUUAUUUAUGAGGCCAUGGAGACUACUGUCAUAUUUGAUUACUAAAUUCAUAAACACUCGCAGAAAUGGAGUUUGGCGGGGCGAGAAUCCCACAGACUCAUCUGUUCCUGUCUUUGGCCGACGGGCACCUUUCCACGUUUGGGUGUUGUCCUCACUGGAAUGACUCACAGCUCCGACUAUGUAUUUAUUUCAGUCCAGAGUUCGAGCGCGAUGCUUUAUGAUCCAUCGUGGGAACUGUCUGUGUGCAGAAUGCCCUCGCUCAUAUGGGAGAUACUGAGGUUCCCUCUUAUUUCUGCCUUUGGGCAGCAGUUAUGAUGUGAAAGCAAUAGUGUGGAGCUGGAAGUGAGUUGGAAAGUCAGCCUGGAGCAGUGACACCCUGGUGACAACAGCAACAACCAAGGGAAGAUAUUCACUGCUAUUCUGCAAUGGCUGACUUUACGCGUGGGAUCGUGUUCCUUGUGGAAUCUGUAAUCAUGCUGCGUGUAGAGCAGGGCUGUUCUCUUUCUGCCUGCAAACUCAGAGCCUGACAGCUAGAAAUAAAUUUGGGCUUCAUGCAGAGAA